rnacentral:rRNA from 1 species
UACGGAGGGUGCGAGCGUUGUCCGGAAUCACUGGGCGUAAAGGGCGCGUAGGUGGCGUCGCAAGUCAACGGUGAAAGCUCGACGCUCAACGUCGAGUCGGCCGUCGAGACUGCGAGGCUCGAGCACUGUAGAGGCAGAUGGAAUUCCGGGUGUAGCGGUGGAAUGCGUAGAGAUCCGGAGGAACACCAAAGGCGAAGGCAGUGUCCUGGGGAGUACCUGACGCUCAGGUGCGAAAGCCAGGGGAGCGAACGGG